rnacentral:rRNA from 1 species
AGUGAACGCUGGCGGCGUGCCUAAUACAUGCAAGUCGAACGGAGUGGCGCACGGGUGAGUAAUGUAUAGCUAAUCUGCCCUUCACUAGAGGACAACAGUUGGAAAAGACUGCUCAUACUCUAUAGUGUAGGAUGAGGCUUUAUUGUAUCAGCUAGUUGGUGAGGUAAUGGCUCACCAAGGCUAUGACGAAUAACUGGUCUGAGAGGAUGAUCAGUCAAACUGGAACGGAGACACCGUUCGGACUCCUACGGGAGGGAGCAGUAGGGAAUAUUGCUCAAUGGGGGAAACCCUGAAGGAGCAACGCCGCGUGGAGGAUGACACUUUUCGGAGCAUAAACUCCUUUUGUUAGGGAAGCGGUACCUAACGAAUAAGCACCGGCUAACUCCGUGCCAGCAGCCGCGGUAAUUC